rnacentral:rRNA from 1 species
CAGCCGCCACGGUAAUACGUAGGGUGCGAGCGUUAAUCGGAAUUACUGGGCGUAAAGCGUGCGCAGGCGGUUAUAUAAGACAGAUGUGAAAUCCCCGGGCUCAACCUGGGACCUGCAUUUGUGACUGUAUAGCUAGAGUACGGUAGAGGGGGAUGGAAUUCCGCGUGUAGCAGUGAAAUGCGUAGAUAUGCGGAGGAACACCGAUGGCGAAGGCAAUCCCCUGGACCUGUACUGACGCUCAUGCACGAAAGCGUGGGGAGCAAACAGGAUUAGAUACCCGUGUAGUCCCUGUCUCUUAUAC